GGGUUAAAAGCCAAAAACGGUAUUUAGCUGUUAACUAAAACUUUGUGAAUUCUCACUUAACCCA
rnacentral:tRNA from 1 species